UACGGGGGGGGCAAGCGUUGUUCGGAAUUACUGGGCGUAAAGGGCUCGUAGGCGGCCAACUAAGUCAGACGUGAAAUCCCUCGGCUUAACCGGGGAACUGCGUCUGAUACUGGAUGGCUUGAGAUUGGGAGAGGGAUGCGGAAUUCCAGGUGUAGCGGUGAAAUGCGUAGAUAUCUGGAGGAACACCGGUGGCGAAGGCGGCUACCUGGACCAGCACUGACACUGAGGCACGAAAGCGUGGGGAGCAAACAGG
rnacentral:rRNA from 1 species